rnacentral:rRNA from 1 species
GCCAGGAGCAUCGCUGGGUAGCUAUGUGUGGCAGGGAUAAACGCUGAAAGCAUCUAAGCGUGAAGCCCCCCUCAAGAUGAGAUUUCCCAUUUCUUCGGAAAGUAAGAUCCCUGAAAGAUGAUCAGGUAGAUAGGUUUGGAGUGGAAGUGUAGCGAUACAUGGAGCGGACAAAUACUAAUCGAUCGAGGACUUAACCAAAA